rnacentral:rRNA from 1 species
CUGCAAGUCGAGCGGACAGAUGGGAGCUUGCUCCCUGAUGUUAGCGGCGGACGGGUGAGUAACACGUGGGUAACCUGCCUGUAAGACUGGGAUAACUCCGGGAAACCGGGGCUAAUACCGGAUGGUUGUUUGAACCGCAUGGUUCAAACAUAAAAGGUGGCUUCGGCUACCACUUACAGAUGGACCCGCGGCGCAUUAGCUAGUUGGUGAGGUAACGGCUCACCAAGGCAACGAUGCGUAGCCGACCUGAGAGGGUGAUCGGCCACACUGGGACUGAGACACGGCCCACACUCCUACGGGAGGCAGCAGUAGGGAAUCUUCCGCAAUGGACGAAAGUCUGACGGAGCAACGCCGCGUGAGUGAUGAAGGUUUUCGGAUCGUAAAGCUCUGUUGUUAGGGAAGAACAAGUACCGUUCGAAUAGGGCGGUACCUUGACGGUACCUAACCAGAAAGCCACGGCUAACUACGUGCCAGCAGCCGCGGUAAUACGUAGGUGGCAAGCGUUGUCCGGAAUUAUUGGGCGUAAAGGGCUCGCAGGCGGUUUCUUAAGUCUGAUGUGAAAGCCCCCGGCUCAACCGGGGAGGGUCAUUGGAAACUGGGGAACUUGAGUGCAGAAGANGAGAGUGGAAUUCCACGUGUAGCGGUGAAAUGCGUAAAGAUGUGGAGGAACACCAGUGGCCAAAGGCGACUCUCUGGUCUGUUACUGGA